GCACUUUCCUAAGGUUUAUUGUAUAUUUCUUCUAUGGGAAAAAGUUAACUCUAUCCCAGUGUACCUCUAGGCGUUUAAGUACUGAGAAAGGUUCUUUUCUUCCCCCGUUGUCAGAGGAUGUCUUUUGCUGUUUGAUGCUCACGUGUAAAACGUGAGGCAGGAUUCGUGGAAGGCUUUAACAGGCAGGUGCACACACAUUGGCUGCCUGCUUGUCAGCCUCACAGAGCCUCACAGCACUCUAGGAGCAUGUUUGCGACAGUGCCAUUGCUGUUUGCAGGCAAUACGAAGACCGUCUCUCACUCACCAGCAGCAAGAGUGUGUGACUGACACCAGGCAAGGGGCAUGCGCCAGGCCACCGAGGGUGCUGGCCACAGAUCUUGUCUGGAGAAUAAAAGGAACAGCCAGAUUGCUUUCGGGAGGCAUCUUCUUCCUUUCACAUCCCUGAGAGCGUCUGUUUUGCCUGCGACAGAAAGUCAAGCCUCAGCUGAGGACCUUCUGUGUGGCGCUCUGAUUUCUUUGCCAAGUAGUCUGAUUUUCCCCCCCAGUAAUUUCUAUUUUUAUGCACAGUGACUCUCAAUUGGUGAGAAAAUGAUGAUCACAUAAUCUCUCUUCCUCGAAGCUGCCGAAUGAUUAGCCUCAUUGUUGCGCGUUCCACUCCACGGCCCGGAAAUGACGCCCCUCUCCAACUCCGGCUAAGCAUGUCAGCUAGAUGGGUUUGACCUUUUCCUGGAAAACAAGGGAGAUGAGAACACGUGAUGUGUGCGCAAACUGAUGCUCAAAUGGGCUAUUUUAGCCAACACUUCAAGAUACAUGCUUCGCUAAACUGGCUGAGAACACACCGGAGCGUUUCCAGUGAGGGCCUUUUAAGGCAUUUAAGAGUCUUGCUAUCUUCAAAAGGUACCCUUGGCUUGUUUACACCCUGGAUGAUAAGAAUAAGAAGCUCCGGAUGUGGCGUCAAGAACUUCAGUGCCGCCUCUGUCGUCUGGAUCCCGGUUCAUCUUGAGAAUAGGAGUCAUAUUUUCAACGGCAAAUCAACCAAAUCAAAACUGCCAAGAACAUGUGUAAUAAGAAGGAAGAUGUGUAAUAAGAAGCCACAUCAAAAUGUCCGCAGGGAUUUCCUCUGGGCUGUGACCUGGGGUUGGUCUGUGUCUUCUUGUCUUUUCCUUGCCUGCAAAUUUCAGGCAGGACCAUUUUAUGAGUUAAAAGAGCGGCCCUAACAGUGAGCGCCAGCUGACAUGGUAGGAGGAGCCAUAUGCCAUAG
ensembl:lncRNA